rnacentral:lncRNA from 1 species
CUUGCUGCCAGAAACCUACUUGAGGCUCUUGACUAAAAUGCUCAAAAGACUGAAUGGCCAGAUGCAGGGAGGGCUCCUUGAUAGUUCUCUCCCGCUGCUCAGGGAGCCCAUCCAUUCUUUCUCCGCCCAAGGAUUUUCUUUAGUUUGUUAUUUUUGGGACGGGGUCUCAGUGUGCAGCUCUGGCUGGUCUGGAAGUUACUAUGUAGAGCAGGUUAGCCCUCAGAGAUAUCCCCUGCUUCCACAGAGCGUUGUGAUAAGAAGUGUGAACCACCAGACCUGGUGUGAUUUCCUUUUGUUGGGUGGGUUGGUUUUUGUUUUAUUUUUUCUUUCUCCUCUUUUUUCUUCUUGUUAUUUAUUUACUUAUGUCUUUGGCAUUAAUAUUUGGGAGCAAGGUUCUUUAGUUUAGCUAACGUUUCAGACCACAGAUAGGUUAAACAACGGGAAGGAAGAGGAGGGGGGCCUUUUCUAAUUAGGGAACCAUUUUCAACUUCGAAGGCCCUCCCAUUGCUGCAUCUGCAGGAAUGGAUCCACUGUUCCAUGGGGAUUUGAUUCACCAGCACAGACUGUGGGUGCUGGCUCCUGCUUGGAUGGCAAGAUUCUUUGCUUAGAGCAUGUGGGGUCUUUCCUGCUUGGGUACAGUUAGUGUAAGCGCUAAGCCACUGUGCCGUGCUCCCUUAGGAACCCUGUCUCCCCCUCUACACGGCCACAGCCAGUGCUAUGUGAGUUUGCAGUACCUGCCAAGAUUGCUUCACUGUGGAUUUGAGCUGUGAGCUGUUACCCUUUUUAUGACUCUGCUGGGCUCAGGACUGAAGGCUGAUUCAUCCCAGGGGCUGGGAGUGGUGCGGGCUGAUGUGUUUCUCUUUGAGAAUUUCCUUGACGCGCAGCCUUGCUUUGCUCCGGAUCACAUGCCUUUCCUGCAGUGUAUAAUCUGUGACUGUUCCCUAUGAAGGGACAGGGCCUGGUCUCUCCAACAUUACUUUGGGGCUAGCUCCAGAGCUCCCUUUAGGGCUACCAAGACCUUCUUGUGUUUGCCUUGUGUUGCAGCACCCCUCCCCCGCAACUAGUUUGCCCCUCCUUGUCCCAGAUGUGGAUCCCAGCAGUGAACCUCUCAAGACCUUCCUGCAUGAAACUUUUUGUCUCCAGUCUGCUCCUCCCAAAGUGCUCCUGCAUUGUUUUUCUCUGUUAGCACAGGCUUGAGCUCCGAUGUAGGCCCAUUCCCUAAUUGUGUCAUGGAACGACUGUACCUGUGUGGCAUCAGGCAUGACAAAUGCAAAGUAGGUUUACUAUUUAUUCGGAAUGUGAAUUUGCUAUUUAUUCUACAUGUUGAUUGUCUAUGUUGUGAUAAUGAACUCAAAGCCAAAUAAAAGCUUGAAUUGU